rnacentral:rRNA from 1 species
GACGAACCGUCCAAACGUUAUUCGGUAUCACUGGGCUUAAAGAGUCCGUAGGCGGUCACGUAGGUCAGAUGUGAAAUCCCACGGCUCAACCGUGGAACUGCGUUUGAAACCACAUGACUUGAGGGAGAUAGAGGUGAGCGGAACAGAUGGUGGAGCGGUGAAAUGCGUUGAUAUCAUCUGGAACACCGGUGGCGAAAGCGGCUCACUGGAUCUCUUCUGACGCUGAGGGACGAAAGCUAGGGUAGCGAACGGG